UACAGAGGUCUCGAGCGUUGUUCGGAUUCAUUGGGCGUAAAGGGUGCGUAGGUGGCUAGGUAAGUCGGAUGUGAAAUCCCGGGGCUCAACCCCGGAACUGCAUUCGAUACUGCUUGGCUUGAGUACUGGAGAGGAGAUUGGAAUUUACGGUGUAGCAGUGAAAUGCGUAGAUAUCGUAAGGAAGACCAGUGGCGAAGGCGGAUCUCUGGACAGUUACUGACACUGAGGCACGAAGGCCAGGGAGCAAACGGG
rnacentral:rRNA from 1 species